rnacentral:lncRNA from 1 species
UUUUUCUUUUUUUAUUUCCAUUCCUUUUUCUGAUUUAAUUUUUAUUGUUUUUUAAUUCAUAUUUGCUCCAAUUUUUUACAGAAAAUUCCUAAAAAUAUUUUGCAUCACAUAAAUUUUUUGCAUUAUUUAAUUUUUUCAUUUAAUGGUUAUUUUCCUUUAAUUUUCAUUUUCCAUUUUAUUUUUGAUCAUUUUUAAAUAUUUUU